rnacentral:tRNA from 1 species
AAAUUAUUUAGCUAUCCAAGCAAUAUGUCUUGAAUACAUAUGAAAGAAACUUUGUUUUCUAAUAAUUU